rnacentral:tRNA from 1 species
GGAUUGGUAGCUCAGUUGGUUAGAGCGUCUGACUGUUAAUCAGAAAGUCGUAGGUUCGAGCCCUACCCAGUCCGCCA